UGUUAAGUAAUAUAAUUUGUAUUAUGUGUGACUGUUAAUCACAAAAUCCUGAGUAAGGCUUAACAG
rnacentral:tRNA from 1 species